CGCCCAUUAAAGCGGUACGCGAGCUGGGUUCAGAACGUCGUGAGACAGUUCGGUCCCUAUCCGUCGUGGGCGUAGGAAAUUUGAGAGGAGCUGUCCUUAGUACGAGAGGACCGGGAUGGACAUACCUCUGGUGUACCAGUUGUCGUGCCAACGGCAUAGCUGGGUAGCUAUGUGUGGACGGGAUAAGUGCUGAAAGCAUCUAAGCAUGAAGCCCCCCUCAAGAUGAGAUUUCCCAACUUCGGUUAUAAGAUCCCUCAA
rnacentral:rRNA from 1 species